GCGCGAAUUAAGGUGAAACCGCGAAAGGCUCAUUAAAUCAGCUAUGAUUCAAUUGAUGGUACGAUCACGGUUACUUGGAUAACUGUGGCAAUUCUAGAGCUAAUACAUGCAAAACGAGUUCCGACCGCGGGUCCGCGUCGUUCGCGCGACCGUUCUCGCGGAACGAAUGCUUUUAUUAGAACAAAACCAAUCGGAUCUUUCGGAACGUUGGACGAUUCGCGCGCGCGGUGCCGAGCGCCUCCGCGGCUCUCGCCCGCGCGCCGGAUCCGACCGAAAGAGAUCCGCAAAUCUAUGACGAAUCUGAAUAACUUUGAGCUGAUCGCACGGUCUCGAACCGGCGACGCAUCUUUCAAAUGUCUGACUUAUCAACUUUCGAUGGUAGGCUACGCGCCUACCAUGGUGAUAACGGGUGACGGGGAAUCAGGGUUCGAUCCCGGAGAGGGAGCCUGAGAAACGGCUACCACAUCCAAGGAAGGCAGCAGGCGCGCAAAUUACCCACUCCCGGCACGGGGAGGUAGUGACGAAAAAUAACGAUGCAGGACUCUUUUCGAGGCUCUGCAAUCGGAAUGAGCACACUCUAAAUCAUUUAACGAGUAUCCAUUGGAGGGCAAGUCUGGUGCCAGCAGCCGCGGUAAUUCCAGCUCCAAUAGCGUAUAUUAAAGUUGCUGCGGAUAAAAAGCUCGUAGUUUGAUUUGUGUUCCGAGCAGUCGGUACGCCGUUCGUCGGCGGUCAACUGACUCGCGGCGGAACGUCCUGCCGGUUGACGGAGCGGGAGGCGAUCGCGUCGCGCCCUUCGUCGGCCGCGUCCGGUCGCCUUGAGUAGUCGGAGCGAAGAGCCACGGUCGUUCGGGUUCCCGGGGUUCCGGUCGCGUGGCCGAGGCAGCGCGCGUUGCGUCGUCGCACGCGCGCUCCGCUUCGCCUCGCGUCCGCGAGGUCUCGGUCCCGCUCUGCGGAGCGGGCGCUCACGCGCUCGUUCCGGCGACCUCUUCCGCGGGCGCGUCGCGCGCGGACGCAACGCAUCGUUCCGUUCCGCGCGCGCCAAGGCGCGUCCGACGACGUUUCUGCGUCCGUCAGUCUUGCGAGUUUGUAAUCCCGUCGCGGCGCUCUUAACCGAGUGACGCGCCGGGCCGGCACGUUUACUUUGAACAAAACUGAGUGCUUAAAGCAGGCCGAACCCCAGCGCCUGAAAGUCUUGAUGCAUGGAAUAAUGGAAUAGGGCCUCGGUUCUAUUUUGUUGGUUUUCGGAAUUUCCGAGGCAAUGAUUAAUGGGGACAGGCGGGGGCAUUAGUAUUGCGGCGUUAGAGGUGAAAUUCUUGGAUCGUCGCAAGACUAACCUAAGCGAAAGCAUUUGCCAAGGAUGUUUUCCUUAAUCAAGAACGAAAGUUGGAGGUUCGAAGGCGAUCAGAUACCGCCCUAGUUCUUACCGUAAACCAUGCCGGCUAGCGAUCCGUCGAUGUUCGUUCAGAUGAUUCGGCGGGCAGCUUGAGGGAAACCAAAGCCUUCGGGUUCCGGGGGAAGUAUGGUUGCAAAGCUGAAACUUAAAGGAAUUGACGGAAGGGCACCACCAGGAGUGGAGCUUGCGGCUUAAUUUGACUCAACACGGGAAACCUCACCAGGCCCGGGCACCGGAAGGAUUGACAGAUCAAGAGCUCUUUCUUGAUUCGGUGGGUGGUGGUGCAUGGCCGUUCUUAGUUGGUGGAGCGAUUUGUCUGGUUAAUUCCGAUAACGAACGAGACUCUAGCCUGUUAACUAGGCGACGAUCCGGACUUCCCUCCCGGGGAGUUUCGGAUCAUCCGGCAUGGAACGGCGGCGGCGCGCUCCGUCGCUCCGCCGUCAAUUCAAACUCACUGCCGGCGACGGAAUUUCUUCUUAGAGGGACAAGCGGCUUCUAGCCGCGCGAGAUUGAGCAAUAACAGGUCUGUGAUGCCCUUAGAUGUUCUGGGCCGCACGCGUGCUACACUGAAGGAAUCAACGUGUCUGACGAAUCCUAGGCCGAGAGGUCCGGGCAACCCGUUGAAUUUCCUUCGUGAUAGGGAUCGGGGCUUGCAAUUGUUUCCCGUGAACUAGGAAUUCCCAGUAAGCGCGAGUCAUAAGCUCGCGUUGAUUACGUCCCUGCCCUUUGUACACACCGCCCGUCGCUACUACCGAUCGAACGAUUUAGUGAGGUCUUUGGACUCGUGCGCGGUGUUUCGCUCGCGUCCGUUCGCGCGGGCGCGCGAUCCUUCGCAGUCGCGAGGAAGACGACCGAACUUAAUCGUUA
rnacentral:rRNA from 1 species